rnacentral:misc_RNA from 1 species
GAUGAAGAACGCAGCAAAAUGCGAUAAGUAAUGUGAAUUGCAGAAUUCAGUGAAUCAUCGAAUCUUUGAACGCACAUUGCGCACGCCAGUAUUCUGGCGGGCAUGCCUGUUCGAGCGUCAUUUCAACCCUCAAGCUCAGCUUGGUGUUGGGACUCGCGGUAACCCGCGUUCCCCAAAUCGAUUGGCGGUCACGUCGAGCUUCCAUAGCGUAGUAAUCAUACACCUCGUUACUGGUAAUCGUCGCGGCCACGCCGUAAAACCCCAACUUCUGAAUGUUGACCUCGGAUCAGGUAGGAAUACCCGCUGAACUUAAGCAUAUCAAUAAGCGGAGGA